ACAGUACAAACUGAACAGGCAGCGACUAAGUCGUGUGGCCGGGUUGCUUAGCAACAGCAGAUUUAAUUAUUCAUAUUGAUGAUAAUUAACAUCUGUGGGACAGUA
rnacentral:ncRNA from 23 species